CAGCAUGUGCAGUGGAUCGCUCGGCUCGUGCGUCGAUGAAAAACACAGCCAACUGAAAGAACCGGUGUGAAUUGCAGGAUACACUGAUCAUCGAUACGUUGAACACACGUUGAGGCUCCAGGCUACACACCCGGGGCCACAACUGUCUGAGGGUCG
rnacentral:rRNA from 1 species